UUGAAGGCUGGAAUGAAUGGUUGGACAAGAAAUAAGCUGUCUUAAAUAAAAAUAUUGAACUUAACUUUUAAGUGAAAAGGCUUAAAUUUUCUAAAGGGACGAUAAGACCCUAUAAAACUUUAUAUUUAAAAGUAAUUGCAAUUAUUAUUUAAAGAUUUUAUUUUUAAAUAUUUUAUUGGGGUGAUAAGGAUAAAAUAAAAGACAACUGUCUUUUAUUUUAACAAUAAUUUUUGAGUAAAUGAUCUUAGUAAAGGAAUAAAAGAUUAAGUUACUUUAGGGAUAACAGCGUAAUUUUCUUUGAGAGUUCUUAUCGACAAGAAAGUUUGCGACCUCGAUGUUGAAUUAAAAGUUCUUUAUAGAGUAGAGACUAUAUUAGAAGGUCUGUUCGACC
rnacentral:rRNA from 1 species